UACGUAGGGGGCAAGCGUUGUCCGGAUUUAUUGGGCGUAAAGAGCGUGUAGGCGGUUAGGUAGGUCCGUUGUGAAAACUCGAGGCUCAACCUCGAGACGCCGAUGGAAACCAUCUAACUAGAGUCCGGAAGAGGAGAGUGGAAUUCCUGGUGUAGCGGUGAAAUGCGCAGAUAUCAGGAAGAACACCUGUGGCUAAGGCGGCUCUCUAGUACGGUACUGACGCUGAGACGCGAAAGCGUGGGGAGCGAACAGG
rnacentral:rRNA from 1 species